rnacentral:rRNA from 1 species
UACGUAGGGCGCAAGCGUUGUCCGGAAUUAUUGGGCGUAAAGAGCUCGUAGGCGGCCUGUUGCGUCCGCUGUGAAAACCUAAGGCUCAACCUUGGGCUUGCAGUGGGUACGGGCAGACUAGAGUGCGGUAGGGGUGACUGGAAUUCCUGGUGUAGCGGUGGAAUGCGCAGAUAUCAGGAGGAACACCGAUGGCGAAGGCAGGUCACUGGGCCGCAACUGACGCUGAGGAGCGAAAGCAUGGGGAGCGAACAGG